rnacentral:misc_RNA from 1 species
GAUGAAGAACGCAGCGAAAUGCGAUACUUGGUGUGAAUUGCAGAAUGCCGUGAACCAUCGAGUCUUUGAACGCAAGUUGCGCCUCAAGCCAUUAGGUUGAGGGCACGUCUGCCUGGGCGUCACAUAUCGUUGCCUGAUGCCAGUUUCCUCGUGAUGGGUGACUGUGCAGGGCGAAUGAUGGCUUCCCGUGAGCAUUGUUGCCUCAUGGUUGGUUGAAAAUUGAGUCCUUGGUAGGGAGCGCCGUGAUAGAUGGUGGUUGAGUGACGAACGAGACCCAAUCAUGUGAGACCCCUACCGAAUUUGGCCUUCAUGACCCACAUGCGUCUUUGGAACGCUCAUGACGAGACCUCAGGUCAGGCGGGGCUACCCGCUGAGUUUAAGCAUAUCAAUAAGCGGAGGA